GAGAAUUUCUUUUAAUUUUCAAUGCAAAUUUCUUAUUAUUUAUGCUAUAUAACCUUUUAUAUUCUUCAGUUAGCUUUUCUAUUAGUUGAAUUAUGAUUAGGGGGAUAUUUAAUGAUGUUUUUUGUUAGACAAAAAUAAAAAAUAAUUUUUUUUUAAUUUUAGUGAAUAAAUCUAAAUGUCACAGUAAGAAAAAAUGUAAAUAAUGUCAUUUAGUUGAUUACAUAUAUAUAAGUACAUCUAUAUUUGUAAAUACAUUUGUUUCACAGGAAAAAUAAACUAUAAUUUUCUCUUUUAUAUAGAUUACAAUUUAUUUUAUAAGUUGAAUUAUUUUUCAGUUUAGAUUUAACGUUCAAACAACGUUCUAGAGAGAGUUU
rnacentral:lncRNA from 1 species